AUUGAACGCUGGCGGCAGGCCUAACACAUGCAAGUCGAACGAGUGGCGGACGGGUGAGUAAUGUCUGGGAAACUGCCUGAUGGAGGGGGAUAACUACUGGAAACGGUAGCUAAUACCGCAUACCAUCAGAUGUGCCCAGAUGGGAUUAGCUUGUUGGUGGGGUAACGGCUGACCAAGGCGACGAUCCCUAGCUGGUCUGAGAGGAUGACCCGCCACACUGGAACGUGGACACGGUCCAGCCGCCUACGGUAGGCGGCAGGGGGGAAUAUUGCACAAUGGGCGCAAGCCUGAUACAGCCAUGCCGCGUGUAUGAAGAAGGCCUUCGGGUUGUAAAGUACUUUCAGCGGGGAGGCGUUACCCGCAGAAGAAGCACCGGCUAACUCCGUGCCAGCCGCCGCGGUAAUUC
rnacentral:rRNA from 1 species